UAGACGAUUUCUUCAGAUUUGUACGUCCGUAUAGUGCAUAGAUCUACGACGCAUGCAGUAUACUAGUGCAGCGCAGGCCUAUAGCCUUCGAUUCAAUACAGUAAAGCCGUGGUUUAAAGUUUUUGAUCGAAUGCUGACAAGAUUUUCGAGUUGUAGCCUUUCUUCGUCCUUUUUUGGAGUGUUCAUGUGUUCUCAAUUUAUGCCCGUUAUGUUGCCGACAGUCUAGUGGAAACUGAUACUGAUAGUGAUAUUUGAUCUUCCCCUGCUCUGACAACGUGUGGUCAAGUUUGUAAGGCCAGCUAUCUGGCUGAUGCCUUAGUUUCAUGCAGUAUACAUACAGCAAGGAAUUGGCUCCACCGUCGCUCAUUCUUCAACUACACAAACCAUUAAGGAAGUUUGCUCUCUCAGGUCUGAGGUCCUGAAACGGGAGUCUCCAUCCAGACUACCAAUGAUAGAUCACCUCUUGUGACCGCCUUUUAUCGCAUCCAUCCUUGCCUAUUGUGACCGCCUUUCAUCGCAUCCAACCUCGCUUCUGUUUUAUCCUGCAUGGUACCGUAAUCACCACAUUCUCCACACUCUCGACUGUCUCCAUUAUUCACUUGGAAGUUCUCAUCACACUUGUCAUCAAACCAGACAGCUUUCAACCAGAAUCUUCCAGGUGUAAAAAAAAAAAGGUAAAGUAAUACAUUAGUAAUAUGAAAUGCAUAUAUUUUGGAUUGUAAAUCAUUUCUUUAUUUAAAAAAAAA